rnacentral:rRNA from 1 species
GGACGAACGCUGGCGGCGUGCCUAAUACAUGCAAGUAGAACGCUGAAGGAGGAGCUUGCUUCUCUGGAUGAGUUGCGAACGGGUGAGUAACGCGUAGGUAACCUGCCUGGUAGCGGGGGAUAACUAUUGGAAACGAUAGCUAAUACCGCAUAAGAGUAGAUGUUGCAUGACAUUUGCUUAAAAGGUGCAAUUGCAUCACUACCAGAUGGACCUGCGUUGUAUUAGCUAGUUGGUGGGGUAACGGCUCACCAAGGCGACGAUACAUAGCCGACCUGAGAGGGUGAUCGGCCACACUGGGACUGAGACACGGCCCAGACUCCUACGGGAGGCAGCAGUAGGGAAUCUUCGGCAAUGGACGGAAGUCUGACCGAGCAACGCCGCGUGAGUGAAGAAGGUUUUCGGAUCGUAAAGCUCUGUUGUAAGAGAAGAACGAGUGUGAGAGUGGAAAGUUCACACUGUGACGGUAUCUUACCAGAAAGGGACGGCUAACUACGUG